UAUAAAAUUAAAAAAACAAAAAACCUAAUCUGUAAUACUGUAACCUAUUCGUUCUCUCCGCCAGGAGGCCAGGACUAGACUCUAUCCGCCGCUUGUCUCUUUCUCCUUGCUGCUCCCUCUCAUCUCCGCCGCUCAUCUCUCUCCUCACUUGUCUCUCCUUGCUGCUCCCUCUCAUCUCCACCGCUCAUCUCUCUCUCCUCGAUGCCCUCUCUCUCUCAUCGUUGCUCAUCUCUCUCUCAUCGUUGCUCGGCUCCCUCCCCUUGUUGCUCAUCUUAAUGCCCCAUCUCGAUCUCCCCCCACCCACCCUUCAAGGUGCUGCAGAUUGCCAUAGAAGUAUAUCUUAGCCAAACGAAAAAAGGUACUAAAAUGAAACUUCAAUCUUCGUUCACAACUUAUAUAUGAUGAUAAGUAACUAAUUAUAUGUGAUUGAAGAAGUACCUAACUGGGAGUCUUAAACCAUGUGAUUGAAGAAGUACCUAGCUGGGAGGCAAUUAAUUCUUGAAUGCCCAACAAUUCUCAUGCUUUGAACCAUUUGCUAGUAUUCACCUCUCGGUAUUUCUGGACUAGGAAAUUGGUCCACAGUAUAUUAAGUUGGCAUGCAUUCAGACUAGUAACAUUCCUUGGAAUCUUUCAGGAAAGCUGAAGAUUUUAAAUUUCUGUUUCUCUUAACGUUGCACUGAGGAUUGCUAAAUUUUUUGGAUGUAGCCUAUACCUCUGAGUCCUUGUCUUGCCAAAUUUGCAUACUUUAUGACAUGAUUGGAUGUAGAUUGUAGUUAUGAGUCAUUCUGACUCCGAAUGAUAUAUCAAGGGUUCAUGUAAUCUUUUCUCAAAGUUUUGAUGGAGAUUAGUAAUUUCAUUGUAAA